AUUGAACGCUGGCGGCAGGCUUAACACAUGCAAGUCGAGCGGGGAAAGGUAGCUUGCUACCUGACCUAGCGGCGGACGGGUGAGUAAUGCUUAGGAAUCUGCCUAUUAGUGGGGGACAACAUUCCGAAAGGAAUGCUAAUACCGCAUACGCCGGACGGGGGAAAGGGGGGGAUGUUCAGAGCUUGCGCUAAUAGAUGAGCCUAAGUCAGUUUAGGUUGGGGGUGGGGUAAAGGUCUAGCAAGGGGACGAUCUGUAGCGGGUCUGAGAGGAUGGUCCGCCACACUGGGACUGAGACACGGCCCAGACUCCUACGGGAGGCAGCAGUGGGGAAUAUUGGACAAUGGGAGAAAGCCUGAACCAGCCAUGCCGCGUGUGUGAAGAAUGCCUUUUGGUUGUAAAGCACUUUAAGCGAGGAGGAGGCUACUUGGAUUAAUACUCUAGGAUAGUGGACGUUACUCGCAGAAUAAGCACCGGCUAACUCUGUGCCAGCAGCCGCCGUAAUAC
rnacentral:rRNA from 1 species